rnacentral:tRNA from 1 species
GCAAACAUAGUUUAAACCCAAACAUUAGAUUGUGAUUCUAAAAAUAGGAGUUCAACCCUCCUUGUUUGCC